rnacentral:rRNA from 1 species
UACAGAGGGGGCAAGCGUUGUUCGGAAUUACUGGGCGUAAAGGGCGCGUAGGCGGCUUUGUAAGUCGGGGGUGAAAGCCUGUGGCUCAACCACAGAAUUGCCUUCGAUACUGCAUGGCUUGAGACCGGAAGAGGUAAGUGGAACUGCGAGUGUAGAGGUGAAAUUCGUAGAUAUUCGCAAGAACACCAGUGGCGAAGGCGGCUUACUGGUCCGGUUCUGACGCUGAGGCGCGAAAGCGUGGGGAGCAAACAGGG